GUCCUUUUGAUUGUAAUUUAAGGUCUGACCUGCCCACUGAUUUAAAUUGAAGGGCCGCGGUAUUUUGACCGUGCAAAGGUAGCAUAAUCAUUAGUCUUUUAAUUGGAGGCUGGAAUGAAGGGUUGGACGAGGCAUAGACUGUCUCACUAUAAUUGGAGCUAGAAUUUAACUUUUGGGUGAAAAGGCUUAAAUGGAUUUAAAGGACGAGAAGACCCUAUAGAUCUUUAUAUUAAGGGCUUUAUUAAUAAUUUAGUUAGAUUGGUUUUAUUAGAGAAUUAAAUAUUUUGUUGGGGUGACGGGAAGAUAGAGUGAACUCUUUCUUACAAAGGACACUGAUUUGUGUAUAUGAUGAU
rnacentral:rRNA from 1 species